UGUUGGUGUCGCUGUUGGACAGUGUUUUCUCUACUUCCUGUUGGCCUUCUGUAGCUAAUCAUAGCUCCAUGUAGCUGUUUUUAUUUUAUAUUUUUUCUCUAUAAUCUUUCUUACUAUCACUGUCUGUUUGUUUGUUUUUUUUAAUUGUAAAAUAUAACUUAAUUCACACCAUAUUUCUGAUAUUACCGAUCAAUCUUAUCAGAUUAACUUUGAUCGUUCACUCUUCCGUGACUGCAGCACACCUGCAAAGCGUUAGCACUCGUUAGCUUGUCAUUAGCGUUUUCUUUUCUCCUCUCCUCUCCUCUCCCACGCUGCAGUUUUCCACAAGUUCAUCAAACAACCGCAGUAAGAAUAUUUCAUCAAGCACGGUCACCGUGGCCACCAGAUCCAGUCUGUGUCCAGAUCAGAGGGUCACUGCAGUCACCCGGAUCCAGUACGUAUCCAGACCAGAUGGUGGAUCAGCACCUAGAAAGGACCUCUACUGCCCUGAAAGACAGCGGAGACCAGGACAACUAGAGCCCCAGAUACAGAUCCCCUGUAAAGACCUUGUCUCAGAGGAGCACCAGGACAAGACCACAGGAAACAGAUGAUUCUUCUGCACAAUCUGACUUUGCUGCAGCCUGGAAUUGAACUACUGGUUUCGUCUGGUCAGAGGAGAACUGACCCCCCAACUGAGCCUGGUUUCUCCCAAGGUUUUUUUCUCCAUUCUGUCACCGAUGGAGUUUCGGUUCCUUGCCGCUGUCGCCUCUGGCUUGCUUAGUUGGGGUCACUUCAUCUACAGCGAUAUCAUUGACUUGAUUGCAAAUUAAAACAGACACUAUUUCAACUGAA